rnacentral:tRNA from 1 species
GCCUCCGUAGCAUAGUAGCCAUUGCGGCGGUUUUGUAAACCGCAGGUCGAGGGUGCAACUCCCUCCGGGGGCU